GGCAGCGGUCCUUGCCUCCUCUCGCGCAGCACAAUUGCGUCUGCGGGGGGGCGUGGCCCGCGUCCACGAAGCAACAUUACCGUCUUUGACCUCGGAUCAGGUAGGGAUACCCGCUGAACUUAAGCAUAUCAAUAAGCGGAGGAAAAGAAACCAACAGGGAUUGCCCUAGUAACGGCGAGUGAAGCGGCAACAGCUCAAAUUUGAAAUCUGGCUCUCUUUGGGGGUCCGAGUUGUAAUUUGCAGAGGAUGCUUUGGCAUUGGCGGCGGUCUAAGUUCCUUGGAACAGGACAUCACAGAGGGUGAGAAUCCCGUACGUGGUCGCCUGCCUUUGCCGUGUAAAGCUCCUUCGACGAGUCGAGUUGUUUGGGAAUGCAGCUCUAAAUGGGAGGUAAAUUUCUUCUAAAGCUAAAUACUGGCCAGAGACCGAUAGCGCACAAGUAGAGUGAUCGAAAGAUGAAAAGUACUUUGGAAAGAGAGUCAAAAAGCACGUGAAAUUGUUGAAAGGGAAGCGCUUGCAGCCAGACUUGCCCGCAGUUGCUCACCUAGGCUUUGGCCUGGGGCACUCUUCUGCGGGCAGGCCAGCAUCAGUUUGGGCGGUUGGAUAAAGGCCUCUGUCACGUAUCUCCCUUCGGGGUGACCUUAUAGGGGAGGCGCAAUGCAACCAGCCCGGACUGAGGUCCGCGC
rnacentral:sRNA from 1 species